rnacentral:rRNA from 1 species
AUUGAACGCUGGCGGCAGGCCUAACACAUGCAAGUCGAGCUGCAGCGGGAAAGUAGCUUGCUACUUUUGCCGGCGAGCGGCGGACGGGUGAGUAAUGCCUGGGAAAUUGCCCAGUCGAGGGGGAUAACAGUUGGAAACGACUGCUAAUACCGCAUACGCCCUACGGGGGAAAGCAGGGGACCUUCGGGCCUUGCGCGAUUGGAUAUGCCCAGGUGGGAUUAGCUAGUUGGUGAGGUAAUGGCUCACCAAGGCGACGAUCCGUAGCUGGUCUGAGCGGAUGUUCAGCCACACGGGAACUGGGGCACGUGCCAUACUCCUGCGGGAGGCAGCGGUGGGGAAUAUUGCACAAGGGGGGAAACCCUGAUGCAGCCAUGCCGCGUGUGUGAAGAGGGCCUUCGGGUUGUAAAGCACUUUCAGCGAGGAGGAAAGGUUGUUGGCUAAUAUCCAACAGCUGUGACGUUACUCGCAGAAGAAGCACCGGCUAACUCCGUGCCAGCAGCCGCCGUAACAC